UCCAACCUGCCGUCUACUCUUGGACAGCCUUCUGAAAGGAAGAUUAAUACAAGAUGGCAUCAUGAGUCCGCAUGUUCACAUGAUUAAAGGUAUUCCGGUAGACGAUGGGGAUGCGUUCCAUUAGAUAGUAGGCGGGGUAACGGCCCACCUAGUCUUCGAUGGAUAGGGGUUCUGAGAGGAAGGUCCCCCACAUUGGAACUGAGACACGGUCCAAACUCCUACGGGAGGCAGCAUG
rnacentral:rRNA from 1 species